CCCUUAGAUGUUCUGGGCGGCCCGCGCACUACAAUGGCGCUUUCAGCGAGUUCCUAUGUUGAAUUUUCCUUGGUAUUCUUGGAAGCGGCGUCUUGACUUGGGAUAGAUCCUUGUAAUUGUUGGUUUUGAACGAGGAAUUCCUUGUAAUCGCGGUUGAUCAGCUCGCGUUGAAUACGUCCCUGCCCUUUGUACACACCGCCCGUCGCUCCUACCGAUGAAUCGUCCGGUGAAGUUCGCAGAGUGGCGGUUCGUGGAGUUGCUCGCGAAGUGAAAUGGACCUCACGAUUUAGAGGAAGGAGAAGUCGUAACA
rnacentral:rRNA from 1 species